CUGGAGACUGGCCGAAUCCGGAAGUGAUCCUCGAGAACCUACUUUUCUACCGAGGACCCCGGCAGUCGGCGUGGGUUUAGGACCAUGAGCUGGUGAGUGAGGCCGGGUGGCGUCGGCUGGAGCCAGGGCGGCCCGACAGCCCUGCUCCUAAGCGGUUCCGGGAGCCUCCUCGGUGCUCUCCCGGAGGCUCCAUCUCUCGGCCAGACUCCCGAGGAGGAUCCCUUAGCCUUGGACCCGCGUCUGAUCCCUGUUGCCUGCCCUUUCUCCCAUCGCAUUUCCUUUCACCUCCUUGGCGUGAGGAGUCCCUCUUCCCUCUUCUCUCAGCUAUCCAUUGAGGUGGAGUCAGUGUCCUCCUUCGCUCCCGUGGGCAUCUCUACACCGCGCUUAUCUGCUCCGGAGCUGUGUUGCUCAUUGAGGCAGACUAGGCACAGUUCUGUGACCAAAAUCCAGCUGCUUUCAGACAACUGGAAUAACAUCACCUAACAGUGCCUCAAAAGACGAAAUUCUUUUUAAAAAUGUAAAAGUUGAUUCUCACAUGGGAAGGAUCAGAAUUGCACCACACACACACACACACACACACACACACACACACACAUUUAAUGUGUGAUUGGACUGUUUGAAUCUUUCCAGGGCUGUGACCCCACUGCCCUCUCUCUAAGAUAGACAUAGCUUAAACUUUAUGGGGAUCGUCAAACCAAGGAGCCAUAGAGCUGGAAUGUCACAGCUGCAGAUGGGGGUGGGGGGAGCUCACGGUGGAUACUUCCUGUUUGUGAUUAGCCUAAUGUGGAAGGUCCUCUUUCCCCAAAAGCUGGUCCUUAAUUGUUGCUCUGGGGUUUUUGUUUUUGUUUUUACGUGCAGAUGAAAAGUCAUAAAUUUUCUGUCUUCCUAGGGCUUCUUUAAAGGCUGUCAAUGUCUUUACCAUUAGGCCCAAGAGCCUGUGUGUCCAUGGUCCCCACUCAAACUCCUAACUGUUUACAAUGCAUUUGUAUGAAUAAAUUGGCCUCCAAGGAAGUAUGAGAUUAAUCAGCCCUCUUUAGAUCCCAAGGUGCAUUAAUGUAGGGGGCUGGACUUGCUCAGAGCCCAGUCUGUUAUGCAAAAUAAGUGCAUGAUAAUCAGCUAUGAAUGAAUGAAAUUAGCUAGACACCCUCUGAGAAGGCUUUCACACUUGACCACCAGUGGAGACCAAGCUUUCGCCACAAGCAGCUAAUGUCAGUCAAUGUCAAGGAUAGCUUUCUAAUGUACAGUGUAAACCACUUCUGCCCCUUCCUCCACCUGCUUCUCAGACUGAGGUUAAUUGGUGGACAAAUGUCAGACAGCUGGAGAAGCAGGGAACAGAACACACACACACACACACACACACACACACCCGCGAAGCUCUAAUAAGCCUCAGCAGGAGAUACUCAUUUCCCCUCAACCUCUUCCUCCAAGAGGCCCACAGAAAGCUGGAACCCCUAAAAGCUAACUUCCCCAUCUUGUUACAGCUUAGCUAGUGACAGGUCAAGGGGCACUUCCUCAGUUCCCUUUGCUAAAGGGAAAUCUCCUGAAGCAGAGUCGUUUCUUUUAAGCAUCAGUCUGUGUACCUCCAGCUUCAUGAUGCUAGAAGUCAUCUUGGUUUAUGCACCUUGAAUCUUUGAAUCUCUCUUGCCUAAUUUUU
rnacentral:lncRNA from 1 species